rnacentral:misc_RNA from 1 species
CGUCUCUUCUCUCUCUCUCCCUUCUGCAACUCAAUACAAAAGUUUCAUAGUCUUUACACACAAACCAAUAGAUACCGGUCACACCAACAUUCGUGUUGCGAGGAGGAGCCCAACCGGCAAAAAUUAGAACCAUACUGUCAUCGCCCUUUCCACUGAUCGGACUAAACGCCAAGGACAGAAUGAGCGUCAAGGUAACUUCAACGCGGACGAGCA